rnacentral:rRNA from 1 species
CCUACGGGAGGCAGCAGUGAGGAAUAUUGGACAAUGGGCGCAAGCCUGAUCCAGCCAUGCCGCGUGCAGGAAGACGGUCCUAUGGAUUGUAAACUGCUUUUGUACGGGAAGAAACACUCCUACGUGUAGGAGCUUGACGGUACCGUAAGAAUAAGGAUCGGCUAACUCCGUGCCAGCAGCCGCGGUAAUACGGAGGAUCCAAGCGUUAUCCGGAAUUAUUGGGUUUAAAGGGUCCGUAGGCGGUUUAGUAAGUCAGUGGUGAAAGCCCAUCGCUCAACGAUGGAACGGCCAUUGAUACUGCUAGACUUGAAUUACUAGGAAGUAACUAGAAUAUGUAGUGUAGCGGUGAAAUGCUUAGAUAUUACAUGGAAUACCAAUUGCGAAGGCAGGUUACUACUAGUGGAUUGACGCUGAUGGACGAAAGCGUGGGGAGCGAACAGGAUUAGAUACCCUGGUAGUCCACGCCGUAAACGAUGGAUACUAGCUGUCGGGUCGACCUACGAGUGGUCGUAGACGAAGUAGUAGUAAGUAGUACCGACCGUCGGGUAGGUACGGUUCGGUCGAAGAAGUAGUAAACGUUAAAGUUAAGUAAGUUAGUUACGGUCGUUGAGGACGUGCGACGGACGACGACGAGGGAGGAGG